CUGCUGCUUAUCUCGUGGCCGAUCCGCGCUCGCCCCGUCCCCGCAUCUCGCCGCCGCGCCCCGGUCAGUGUGCGCUUGAGACAUCGCCCACACGAGACAUCGUGUGUGAUGCCCGCCCCCAACCCUUCCCCGGUGUGAUGCCCGCCGUUGACGUCUCUUCUCUCGCCCCCAUCCUCCUCAACCUCGGCGCCGCCCCUGCCCCUGUCCUCGAUGGCAAGGAAACUUCCCCCGGGCAUAAAUCUCACUGCUCACGCGCCAUUAGCGCCAUACCCGCUACCUCCUCUGGCAUGCCACACGCCGCCAUCCCCCUAGCCCAUCGUGUGUCACGCGCCCAGAUCUCCUAUUUUUACGCCCCCACGCAACAUAGGCCAUCCCACCAUGGAGCAAGAAACCCUAGCGUAGCCACCAACCACUGCUGCCCCACAUGGCAUCCUGACUGUGGCUGCAUCCAUCUCGGCGCCUCGCCCACCACGUUGCACCACCACCGCCGCUCCUCCUCCCCACCGCGCUGUCGCCCUGAGUACCACCGCCACCGCCACCGUGCAUGUCGCUAGGGCCGCAUCUCUCGAUGUUAGGGCCCAACCGAACAUCGUCGUCGCCUCCACCUCUGCGUCUGGGCCACCGCAAGAGUUUAGGGCUCCUCCGGGGUUCGAGAUCAUGUCCGACCAGCAGAGCAGCAUCCUCAGCACCAUGCUCGACAACCCCCUCCACCUCGGUACUGGCGUCUUCGCCCUCGGGUACGCACCACACCUUUUCUCACCAUCCGAGCAUUGCCAAGGAGCUCCUCUCCAUCCCCAACGCGCGCCACGCCCCACCACCAACGAUGAAUGGGUGCUUCAGAUUCACUAAGACGAUGGCGCGUCUGCGGCAAGGAGCUUCAGAUUCACUGCCAUCAGAAACUUGCAGGUGAGGAAGGAGAGGGUCCAAGUUCCUGACCUCUGCAUCGAUUGGGAGGGUCCAAGUUCCUGACCCCUGCAUUGACUGAUUAUCUUUGAGUUUAAUCAUUAUGUUGAAAUUGGUGUGCAUUCAAAAUAUUCAAUUGAUUCUCACGGCUACCAUGGCUCCUAGCGAAACUUGUUUAUCGUUGGUGUAUCUGGCGUAUUAAUGGAAAAAAUUUACCUUCUCUCUUUGAGGGUUCCAGUCCAUUUCGUUCUCUAUAAUUGUCACCUACCCUUCCUGAGCCUACUUUUGUUGCUAAUGUAAGAAUAAGAAAGAAAAAAGCUUCAUCUCUAUUUGUUUCUGCUAUGCAUUGUGUAGCUUAGAGUUGUCACUUAACUUACAAUCUUACGUUGGUGUAAAACAGUGACCACACUAAAAGCACAAAUGCAAGGUUUUAUAGACCAUGUGUGAUGCUGCUACCACUAACAUGUACAAAUAGGAAAGGCAACAAAAUGGCUUAGAGCAAGUAUUUUUUAAAGAAAAAAAUGAUCCAUUUAAGAAACCUUUUAAUAAGUUACUCCUGAUACCAACUCCUCAAUUCGCGAGUGUCUUCAGCUUCGCUUUCUCUAUUUGUUGUAUGCUGGUGUUUCUUCGUCUUGUGUGUGAGUUGGAUGAGAACUGGACAACUGGUAGGAACCACUCUCAGUUUCAGUUUCUGAUUGUGUUUCACUUUGGUUCAGGUUGUCUGCGCUCUUCUCUUAGGGAUCGAGAAUCGCAGGGAGGUUCCUCGCUUCUAUAAGAAAGAUGUGCUUUUUUAUUUCAUUUUCCUUGUGGAGUUGUAGUUCAGUUCAGUUUGUCUUCAUGCAUGGGGAGUGCUUGGUUCGAUUGUUCAUAGCCAUAGGUGCUACAGAUUCGUCUAUGGCCAAGACAGAAGUUUUUGUUUUCAUGAUGUUUUCAUGGAAGAAGAUGGCGAGAAGCUCUCUGCCCUUCUCAUAGUUAACUCUUUUGAUUAAGUGAUUAACCAAUUUAGUAACACAUAUUUAAUGUUUCAGCUUGUUUGGUUUAGACAUGGUCCCUCAGUAAAUUUUUUAUUUUUUUAUUAUCUUUAUCCAUAAACUAAGUUGGUAUGUAGUGACGGGUAAGAAAUACUGUGGUGGUUUGGACCUCAGUUAUUGGCCAGAUGAAGGGCGAAGGCCAUUAUCAGAUCCUCGUCCACCUUUGGGCUAUUGCUGACAAGUGGACGAGUGUCGUACACCUCUCCAAUUCCCCCCUUCAAUGUGGUCAGUGUUGAAUCAUCUACGUCAUACAGUGAGCAAGGGCAUACUGAUGAGGGAAGGGAUGACAUGGAUUUUUCUCGUUCGAGCAUCAGGUUUUGUGCGUUGAUUAUGGUGUGCUCGUUGGUGAGACUGCGACGUCCUCGUUCAAGUCAGCUGAUAAUCGUGUCCUCCAAGAGCAACUACUACAGAAGAAUGUGGAAAUCAACGAUUUAUAAGAAAAAGUUUUUCACGUUGAGCAAUAACUCUCAGCAAAAGUGGAUAUAUCCUCUGAGAAGGAAGCUGAUUGUGCACAUCAGGAGACUAUUGAUUUGAAAUCUAAACUUCAGUCCAAGGAAGCUAAAAUUGAAAAGAUGAAAUAUGAGCAUCUGGCGAGGGAGGCUGCUUUGGUAGAGGAUCUUCUUGAAGAGGAGUACAAGAAAAAGUUUGAUGAGGCAAACAAGGAACUAUCUCUUGAGAAUGAUCUAGCAAGCAUGUGGGUUCUUGUUGCUAAGUUGAAAAGAGGGGCUUUAGACACAUCUGAUUUGAAUGUUGAUGAUCGAACUAAAGUGUAAGGGCGUAGAGAUCGCCACACUGUUGUCUCAUAAUUGGUGUUAAUAAAAAAUAACAUGGUGCUGCACGGAAUCUCUACUUUGUCUUGUAAGCAGGAUUGUUCUGUCGGUAUAAUUUGAUUUGUAUGU